UGAAGAUAAGUCUGAAGAAAACUCAAGCUCGUAAGUUACCUUUCCAAAAUCGUUGAGAAUUUGGUAAGGACCGACAUAAUAGGGACUGAGCUUCCCCUUCUUUCCAAACCUCUUCACUCCUUUUAUAGGAGAGAUCUUAACAUAUACAUAAUCACCAAUCGCGAACUUGAGAUCCUUUCUUUGCACAUAUGCGUACAAUUUCUAUCAGCUCUGAGCUAUCUUAAGACUUUCC
rnacentral:lncRNA from 1 species